AUUGAACGCUGGCGGAAUGCUUUACACAUGCAAGUCGAACGGCAGCACGGGGGCAACCCUGGUGGCGAGUGGCGAACGGGUGAGUAAUACAUCGGAACGUGCCCAGUCGUGGGGGAUAACGUAGCGAAAGUUACGCUAAUACCGCAUACGAUCUACGGAUGAAAGCGGGGGACCGUAAGGCCUCGCGCGAUUGGAGCGGCCGAUGUCAGAUUAGGUAGUUGGUGAGGUAAAGGCUCACCAAGCCGACGAUCUGUAGCUGGUCUGAGAGGACGACCAGCAACCCUGGGACGUAGGAACGGCCCGGACUCCUACGGGAGGCAGCAGUGGGGAAUUUUGGACAAUGGGCGCAAGCCUGAUCCAGCCAUUCCGCGUGCAGGACGAAGGCCUUCGGGUUGUAAACUGCUUUUGUACGGAACGAAAAGGCUCUGGUUAAUACCUGGGGCUCAUGACGGUACCGUAAGAAUAAGCACCGGCUAACUACGUGCCAGCCGCCGCCGUAA
rnacentral:rRNA from 1 species